AACCAGGACGGCAGCCUUCCCACAGCCACUCGGCGCGGACAUCCAUCCGCCACCGCUGCGGCCCCUGAACUCACCAACGAUCCAGCUGAGCAAACCGUCGAGUUCCAUGCUGUCAUCUGGAAUGCCUGAGCUGGGUGUCCCUUCUGGGAAAAGGAAGAAAUCCCCAAGGGGGCAAUGCCAGCUUUCCCACAGCCACUCGGAGCAGACAUCCCCGCCUGCUCUGCAGCCCCUGAACUCACCGUUGCUGAUCCACGUCAGGAUAUCAUCGAUCUCCGCGCUGUCAACCGGGAUGUCUGCGCUGGAGGUCAUGUCUGGAGAAGGCAAGAAAAUCCCCACGGGGGCAAUGCCAGCUUUCCCACACCCACUACUCCGGACACCCAACCCACCACCCCUGCAGACCAAAAACUCACCACUGAUCCACAUGAGCAGAUCGUCGAUGUCGCUGUCGACCGCGUCCUCUGGGAUGCCUGCGCUCGCUGUGGCUGCUGGAAAAGCAAGGACAUCCCCAGUGGGGCAAUGCCAGCUUUCCCACAGCCACCCGGUGCGGACAGCCUGCCGCACGCCCCGCAGCCCCCAAACUCACCCCCUGAGUCCAGCGCUGCGGUGCUGCAGCCCAGCGGAGCCGUGGCGGGAUGGGG
rnacentral:lncRNA from 1 species